rnacentral:rRNA from 1 species
GAUGAACGCUAGCGACAGGCUUAACACAUGCAAGUCGAGGGGCAGCGGGGUAGUAAGCUUGCUUACUACUGCCGGCGACCGGCGCACGGGUGAGUAACACGUAUGCAACCUGGCCGUCACAGAGGGAUAACCGGGAGAAAUCCCGCCUAAUACCGCAUAAUACCGGGGGGAGGACAUCCUUUCCCGGUCAAAGGAGCGAUCCGGUGACGGAUGGGCAUGCGCCGCAUUAGUUAGUUGGCGGUGUAACGGACCACCAAGACGACGAUGCGUAGGGGUUCUGAGAGGAAGGUCCCCCACACUGGUACUGAGACACGGCCCAA